ensembl:lncRNA
CAGAAAGAGAAGAGAAAGUUGUAAAGUUUGGCAAGGCAGAACGUUGUUUGAGUAGGGGUUAUGUUUUUGCCUACUGGGAAGAAUAGAUUUUAUGCCCAACAGGAGAACUACAGAAGGAGGUUACACACAAGAUUUGGCCAGGAGACUGGGUCUGGGUCCAAUCACUAAAGAUAACGGACUGGAAGCAGCCACGGUGGGAGGGGCCAUACCAAGUGCUCCUGGUGACAGCCUUCGCGGUGAGAAUAGUUGAAAGAGCUACCUGGGUUCAUAUCACACAUUGCAAGAGGAAGUGAAAGUAUGGGCUGGCCUCUAGCUGAUGAUAUGUUCUCCGGGAAGGGGUGGGGCUUUACAGGAGUGCUGGUCGUUCUGAGCUGUCUGAUUGUGGGAGCCAUAUUCCUAAUACACCAUAACCCACCCGAGAAGGC